UUGGUAGCUGAAGAAGCAGGAACGACACUCAAUUACUGAUGGAAAGAAGAGAAAAGGAACACAUUAAAAACAUGUCCAGUAUACAUACAGUUGAUCCACAAUCAAUCGCCAUGGUCUGCAAACCCCAUGGAACACCAAGGCCCACCAGAAUGUCAAAGACAUUGCUUCCUAUUGUGUUGGAUACUGCCAUGUCACCAAGGCCUGCAAAGGAAAAACAAUCUUCAGAUAGACUGCAGCCACGGGGAACCUGCAGAUUGGCUACUGGAUUUUGUCUGUGGACCCACAGCUCACAUGGAUGAUGAAAAGUGGUCCAGAAAAGAACUCAACCAGAUGGGAGUCAAAGAUAUUAAGCACUUCUGUCGGGUAUGGGUUUAAUCAGCAAUGACUUCACUUUAGGAACCAUCAAAGUGGGACAUGAAAUAAAAAUUUUAAAAAAGAGUAAAUGGUGAU